GCAAUAAGCAAAGCUAAAUAACAUUUUCACAAAUACUCUUAUUUAUAGUUUUAGUAUUAUUAAUCCUAAUCUAAUUAAGCAUUCAACUCAAUUUAAGUAUAACAUUAUAAUAGAAGUUAUACUCUAUCUAAGAUAUAAUUCUCUCUAAAUUACACUAGAAUUUUAAAUAACAAAUAUAAUAUUAGUUGUUGUAACACUAUGCACUUAAAAUAAACUUUACAGAAA
rnacentral:misc_RNA from 1 species